rnacentral:rRNA from 1 species
AUCAACGCUGGCGGUCGUGCCUAACACAUGCAAGUCGAACGAGAAGAAGUGGAGCAAUCCAUGAGUAAAGUGGGCCGACCGGUGGAGUAACACGUGACUAACCUACCCUCGAGUGGGGAAUAACUCCGGGAAACCGGAGCUAAUACCGCAUAACAUUGCAAGAUCAAAGCAGCCAUGCGCUUGAUGGAGGGGGGGGUCGCGGUCUGAUUAGCUGUUGGCUAGUUGGCGGUGGUAACGGCCCACCAAGUGCGAAGAUCGGUAGCCGGCCUGAGAGGGCGCACUGGCCACACUGGAACUGAAACACGGUCCAGACUCCUACGGGAGGCAGCAGUGGGGAAAUUUUGCGCAUGGGGGAAACCCUGACGCAGCAACGCCGCGUGGAGGAUGAAGCCCUUUGGGGGCGUAAACUCCUUUCGACGCGGGACGAUAAUGACGGUACCGGUGGAAGAAGCACCGGCUAACUCUGUGCCAGCAGCCGCGGUAAUACGAAGAGGGUUGCAAGCGUUGUUCGGAAUUAUUGGGCGUAAAGGGCGCGUAGGCGGUAUGGCGGUAAGUCACCUGUGAAAUCUCCCGGCUAACUGAGGAGCCUGCAGGCGAUAACUACCGUGCUUGGAGUGAUGGGAGAGGAUGCGUGGAAUUCCCGUGUGUAGCGGUGAAAUGUGUAGAGAUCGGGAGGGAACACCUGUGGCGAAAGCGGCGCUACUGGACAAUCACUGACGGCUGAGGCGCGAAAGCUAGGGGAGCAAACAGGAUUAGAUACCCUGGUAGUCCUAGCCCUUAAACGAUGACUGCUAGGUGUGUAGCAGGUACCCAAUCUGCCGUGCCGCAGCUAACGCAGUUUAAGCAUCCGCCUGGGGAGUACGGUCCGCAAGGUGAAACUCAAAGGAAUUGACGGGGGCCCGCACAAGCGGUGGAGCAUGUGGUUCAAUUCGAUGCAAGCGAAGAACCUUACCUGGGCUUCGACAUGUAGCAGUGAGACCCGAGGGUGGACACCUUAGUCAGUUAGCCAGACACUGUGGGAGGUGCUGCAUGGCUGUCGUCAGCUCGUGUCGUGAGGAUGUUGGGUUAAGUCCCGCAACGAGCGCAACCCUCAUCCCUAUGUUGCCAUCGGGUAAUGCCGAGCACUCUUAGGGAACUGCCGGCGAAGAGCUGGAGGAAGGGGGGGGAUGACGUCAAGUCCGUAUGCCCCUUAUGUCCAGGGCUACACACAUGCUACAAUGGCCGGUACAGAGGGUUCCCAACCCGCAAGGGGAGGCAAUCCCACAAAGCCGGUCUCAGUUCGGAUUGCAGGCUGCACACUCGCCUGCAUGAAGUCGGAAUCGCUAGUAAGCGCAGAUCAGCAGGCUGCGCUGAAUACGUUCCCGGGCCUUGUACACACCGCCCGUCACCACCACGAAAGCUGGUUGUACCAGAAGUCGCCAAGCCAACCCGCAAGGGAAGCAGGCGCCGAAGGUAUGGUCGGUGAUUGGGGUG